rnacentral:rRNA from 1 species
ACCCAAUAGAUACCCAGGUAGUCCACGCCCUAAACGAUGGAUACUAGGCGUAAGAGGUAUCGACCCCUCUUGUGCCGCAGCUAAACGCAUUAAGUAUCCCGCCUGGGGAGUACGGCCGCAAGGUUGAAACUCAAAUGAAUUGACGGGGACCCGCACAAGCGGUGGAGCAUGUGGAUUAAUUCGAUACUAACCGAAGAACCUUACCCAGGUUUGACAUCGAUUGUAAGCUCUAGAGAUAGGGCCCUCCCCCACAAGGGGACAUGAAGACACUUGUUGCAUGGCUGUCGUCAGCUCGUGCCGUGAGGUGUACGGUUAAGUCCGCCAACGAGCGCAACCCUCGUCCUGUGUUACCAGCGAUUAAAGUCGGGAACUCACAGGAGACCGCCGGUGUAAGCCGGAGGAAGGUGAGGAUGACGUCAAGUCAGCAUGGCAGUUACGCCUGGGGCUUCACACAUGCUACAAUGGGCGAAACAAUGGGCAGCAAUACCGCGAGGUGGAGCAAAUCCCAAAAACUAACG